rnacentral:rRNA from 1 species
UGGGGAAUUUUGGACAAUGGGCGAAAGCCUGAUCCAGCAAUGCCGCGUGUGUGAAGAAGGCCUUCGGGUUGUAAAGCACUUUUGUCCGGAAAGAAAUCCUUGGCUCUAAUACAGUCGGGGGAUGACGGUACCGGAAGAAUAAGCACCGGCUAACUACGUGCCAGCAGCCGCGGUAAUACGUAGGGUGCAAGCGUUAAUCGGAAUUACUGGGCGUAAAGCGUGCGCAGGCGGUUUGCUAAGACCGAUGUGAAAUCCCCGGGCUCAACCUGGGAACUGCAUUGGUGACUGGCAGGCUAGAGUAUGGCAGAGGGGGGUAGAAUUCCACGUGUAGCAGUGAAAUGCGUAGAGAUGUGGAGGAAUACCGAUGGCGAAGGCAGCCCCCUGGGCAAUACUGACGCUCAUGCACGAAAGCGUGGGGAGCAAACAGGAUUAGAUACCCUGGUAGUCCACGCCCUAAACGAUGUCAACUAGUUGUUGGGGAUUCAUUUCCUAGUAACGUAGCUAACGCGUGAAGUUGACCGCCUGGGGAGUACGUCGCAAGAUUAAAACUCAAA